AUUUAAAUUUUUUUUCUUAAAAAUUAAAAAAUAUAUCAGGGUAGGCUAACCGUUCGCUAUAUUAAGACCAUGCAUGUGUCCCCAGGCCUAGUUCUUUACCCACCUAAGUCUGGUUUUAGUAAUGCUGGUGAUAAAU